CUUUUCAGUUGGGUAAAAUGAUUCUGGUUGAAGCUGGCCUUGGCAGAACUGAAUCUGUGAUCAAGAAAGAUAGAUUCCGGCUAACAGCUCCUGUAGGAUUUGAUUCAAUCGUGACCCCAGGAAGAUUCUCUGCUAUGAGCCCGAGUGGUGGAGAUGGUGCACAUGAUCUCACUGCACCAAGCAAAUGCAAUGAAUAUGUGAUAUUCGACCAUCUUCAGGUAAAACCGAUAUGUUUGAUUGAGUAUACCACAUCACAAGCCAGCGUUAAGAGUGUUAGGUUGUAAAUGCCUCAAUUUCUACCUUUCUCAAAGCAAUGAAUUGUCUUUUUCCUGAACCUUUAUAAAAUAUAUACAUGUACAUUGCCGUCCACUAUGUUUCUGUGGUUUUACCAUGCAGAAAUCAACCAUUAUUUUACCAUUGUUUCUGUGGUAACACUUUUUUUUAUCUGUUAAAUUCUUGUAAUUUGAAAAUAUUUACUGAAAGUUUUGCCCUGAAAAGUAUAACUAAAAGUUGUAUUUAAAAUCUUAUUCUGGUGUCAUUCUAAGGUUUGGGAUAAUGUGGUCAAGUUUUUUCACCCAAUUGAGCAUGGAGAAGCCUUCAGACAUUGGACUGUAUGACGACUCUGUUGCAAGCUCUCUCUCUCUCUCUCUCUCUAUAAGAUUUAAUUUGGUAAUCAAUACUUCUAAAUGGCUUUUAAAUAUUCUUGCAAAUAUUUGGUAUCUUUUCAUUGAUAUUAGCAUUAUGCAUUGUGCAAAAGAGUUCACAAAAAUGGCUGGAAUACUGAAUGUGUAUGUAAUCUGUCUGAUCAUUUACCAUUCAGUCUACAUACAUGUAUUUUGAACAUUAGUGAUAAAUAAUUGUACCAAAUUGUCCAUAUGCCCAUACACUGCCUUUCAUUCAAUGAUAACUUAUGUGGUGUUCAUUUGAAGGCAUGUGUGUCUUACUAGGGUGAGGAUGUGUGUUUGUGUGUGUCUGCUGUGUGUUAUACAAUUUUAAGCAGUAUGGGUGUGUGAGUGUGUGUAUAUUUUGUAUGGGUGUGGGUCUUCAUAUAUCCCACACACCUCUUGCAAAUGUUAUAAACUUGUGUGGUUGUGCCAAUGUAAAGGUGUGUGUGGUUUGGGUGUGUUUGUGUACCCGAUGUACCCCCAAUAUGCAGUGGGAAGCAGUUGAGUAUAAUAGAAUUUGAAUAAUUUUUUUUUUUGUGUGUGUAUUUAUUAUUCAUGUACUUACUGCUGCACAAGGGGUAAUAUAUGACCACAAUUCAUCAUUCCCUUUUGUGUUUUUUGCUACUUUCACAUAUCUUUUGCAGUAUCUAUAACUUGGAUAUACCUUCUCAUCAAUAAGGGGAAAAUAAUGUCCAAUUUGUAUUAAUACCUCUUUAUCCAAUCUUUACAUUUAUGUCAAAUUAGUUAAUGUAUAUGUGUGAGUGUGUUUCUUUUUUUUUUUUUUUUUUUUUGAGUAUGCAAAGAAGUACAAAUGGCUGGACAUACUUAAUUUGAAAACUUUUAGUUUUCCAGCUAAGUGGAUUUUGUGCCUAUUUUGUAGGAUUUGUUAGUGAUUUAAAUUCAUGUUUGAAAGCUAGAGUUUAGUAGAAUAUUUAUAAAUAUUUAUUAUAACACUUUUAAUUGAAAUUGUAUAAUAUAUAAUACUGUAUAGAAAUAAAAAUAUCAGAACUUGUUUUGGUAUUACAUUAAACAAUGUUUAAAAGUAUACAACAGGGUAGCCAUGACUACUUUGUCAAAUUUGAAAAUACUAUGCAAAUGUAAUUUGUACAAUAUGAAGCAUAGUGUUUAUUAUUGCUGCUAUGAUUGCCAUAAAUGUAAAAUGUUAUAAUUCAAUAUUAUAUAUUAAUGAUGCCUUUGUAGAAGCAUGUGAUAAUAAUAGUGGUAGGAGCACCUGGAGCAUCAAAUAUGACAUGAGUUUAUAAGAACCGUCUAUUACUAGAAGGAAGGAUUUAGUAUGAUAAUGCACCACCAUGUGUGUGUGUGUGUGGGGGGUCAUGCUUUUGUAUCAUAUGAGUAUGUCAGUAUUCUACCCAUUGUGUGAGCAAGUUUGUUAAAAGUAUCUGUUUUAAAUGUUAUAGAUACUUACAGGGAUUCCAUUUAAAAUCCAGUCCUUUUGAUAUAGCACCUUGUUCUUAUGGUUACACUUGUUUUUUCCACUAUAAAUGUGUUGGUCACUUAACAGUGGUAUCAUUUCAAAAGUGACCUGUUGAUCAAUAUAAACGAUGAAAAUUCAUUUAAAAGAAAAAAUGAACUUUCAAGAGCUUGAGCAUUUUUUAGUAAGCGCAUGAAAAAAGAAAGAGUUCAAUUUUGGAAAGGUUACAACUUUUUUUGUAUUUUCAAUUUAGCAACAAGUUGAUAUAUCUGGAAGGGUAAAAUGCAAAUGAUUACUCGUCAAAUGCCCUAAUAUUGAACAUAUAAAAUGUCAGAAAAGUUAUGGCUGAUCUUCCUGAUAAGCUUGAUUAAAUGUCUAGUGUGACUUUUUUGUAUGAAAUCAAUUUCUUAUCAAAUCACUAAUUCCCAAAUGUCACUCUUGACACCUGUGUUCAAUUAAUGAUUUUUUGAAUUGCUUACAAAAUGUUUAUCCCACCAUAACAUUUAUUGAUUUAUAGAUUAAUCCAUAGUUAUAGAUUUAUAUAAUAGUUUUUCUUUCCAGAAUCUUGGAUCUUUCUCAAAUGGCAUAAUGUACGUUGUACCACAUUCCAAAAUGAACAUAUACCUUGAUGAUAUAAAUGAAAUGUCAAUUGCAAUUUGCUGUGAACCUGAUAUUUGCCUAAACAUUUGCCUAAAUAUUUGGAAAUAAAUGCAUCCGUCCAAGAAAAUU